rnacentral:rRNA from 1 species
CCUACGGGAGGCUGCAGUGGGGAAUAUUGGGCAAUGGGCGCAAGCCUGACCCAGCAACGCCGCGUGAAGGAAGAAGGCUUUCGGGUUGUAAACUUCUUUUGUCAGGGACGAAGCAAGUAACGGUACCUGACGACUAAGCUACCGCUACCUACGUGCCAGCAGCCGCGGUAAUACGUAGGUGACAAGCGUUAUCCGGAUUUACUGGGUGUAAAGGGCGUGUAGGCGGGACGGCAAGUCAGAUGUGAAAACCACGGGCUCAACCUGUGGCCUGCAUUUGAAACUGUAGGGCUUGAGUACUGGAGAGGCAGACGGAAUUCCUAGUGUAGCGGUGAAAUGCGUAGAUAUUAGGAGGAACACCAGUGGCGAAGGCGGUCUGCUGGACAGCAACUGACGCUGAGGCGCGAAAGCGUGGGGAGCAAACAGGAUUAGAUACCCCAGUAGUC